rfam:Porphyromonas sp. oral taxon 279 str. F0450 ctg120007683445, whole genome shotgun sequence.
ACAAUGAAGAGUUUGAUCCUGGCUCAGGAUGAACGCUAGCGAUAGGCUUAACACAUGCAAGUCGAGGGGCAGCAUGGUCUUAGCUUGCUAAGACUGAUGGCGACCGGCGCACGGGUGCGUAACGCGUAUGCAACUUGCCUCACAGAGGGGGAUAACCCGUCGAAAGACGGACUAAUACCGCGUACACUC